rnacentral:rRNA from 1 species
AAAGCGUUUGACAGAGUUAACUGGAAAUUUUUAUUUGCAACUUUACAUAAAUUUGGUUUUGGAAACUCUUUCAUAAACUGGCUAAGAAUAUUAUAUAAUUCCCCAACAGCUUGUUUCAGAACAAAUGACCAGACAUCCUUCAGCUUCUGUCUCCUGAGGGGCACCAGACUGGGAUGCCCACUCUCCCCCUCACUUUUUUCAAUUUUUAUCAAACCACUGGCAGCAGCAUUGAGACAGGCUACAACAAUUAAGGGCAUAAAAUGUAAGAACAUAGAACAUAAAAUCAGUCUCUAUGCGGAUGAUGUGUUGCUUUUUCUCCAAAACUCACAAACAGACCUUUCGGAGGUAAUUACUCUAAUAAACUGGUUUUCAAGAGUUUCAGAUUAUUCAAUUAACUGGUCAAAAUCUACAAUUCUUCCAAUUAACUGCUCCUUCCAUAAUUCUUCUUCUGCCCCACUACAAUCUGGAAAUAUUAAAUAUUUAGGUAUUAAUCAAGAACGAAAGUCGGAGGUUCGAAAACGAUCAGAUACCGUCGUAGUUCCAACCAUAAACGAUGCCAACUAGCGAUCCGGCGGCGUUAUUCCCAUGACCCGCCGGGCAGCGUCCGGGAAACCAAAGUCUUUGGGUUCCGGGAGGAGUAUGGUUGCAAAGCUGAAACUUAAAGGAAUUGACGGAAGGGCACCACCAGGAGUGGAGCCUGCGGCUUAAUUUGACUCAACACGGGAAACCUCACCCGCCCCGGACACGGAAAGGAUUGACAGAUUGAUAGCUCUUCCUCGAUUCUGUGGGUGGUGGUGCAUGGUCGUUCUUAGUUGGUGGAGCGAGUUGUCUGGUUAAUUCCGAUAACGAACGAGACUCCGACAUGCUAACUAGUUACUCGACCCCGUGCGGUCUGAGUCCAACUUCUUAGAGGGACAAGUGGCGUUCAGCCACACGAGAUUAAGCAAUAACAGGUCUGUGAUGCCCUUAGAUGUCCGGGGCUGCACGUGCGCCACACUGAGUGGAUCAGCGUGUGUCUACCCUUCGCCGAGAGGCGUGGGUAACCCGUUGAACCCCGCUCGUGAUAGGGAUUGGGGAUUGCAAUUAUUUCCCAUGAACGAGGAAUUUCCAGUAAGCACGGGUCAUAAGCUCGCGUUGAUUAAGUCCCUGCCCUUUGUACACACAACCCGUCGCUACAACCGAUUGGAUGGUUUAGUGAGUUCUUCGGAUCGGCUGUGACCGACCCCGGCGGUACGCCGAGAAGACGAUCAAACUUGACUAUCGAGAGUUGUAAAAGUUGUAACAAGGUUUCCGUAGGUGAACCUGCGGAAG